UUUUACUCCUUCCCUCCCAGCGUCGCAAACUAACCUUUAUAGAGGUGGUUGAGCCCGGCCCACACACAGGUAGCCAAUGAGAUUUCAACUCACCUCAGUAAAUAUGCGCACCCCACCAAUUGAAUGUCUCCGUCUGGCCUGGCCCGCCCUAUAUCCGGGAUUUACAACACGCACGUGGGAAGCCUCAGGUCACACCAGGGAGAAACAGCUGUUCCUUCUCACUGCUCAGGAUGGUUCCACCGCAGGGACAGGCCACGGUGUGGUCACUCACGCGCAGAAGACUAUAAAAGCCUGGGUGCUGCGGGUCCUUACACCCCAAGACUGGAG
rnacentral:lncRNA from 1 species